AAAGCAGAGGGAGAGAGGAGGGUAUAGUGCUGUCGGCAUAGAAGCUUUGGCAAAAAAAUGCAAGUUUGUUUUUCUCAGAUGCUUCUCAUAAAUAAGUGGAUUAACACAAAUAGUCGGUACAGAGUUAGACUACUUUAGUUGUGCAGUCCAACUUGCUUCACUGCUUUGGAGGUUGAAGAUGGUAAAUGAUUUUCAUGAACCGUUUUGCAAAUUUUUAAACUUUGUCCUUUCUUUACUAAGUUUUAGGCCCUGUGAAGUCCGUGUGUCCCGUUCUGCAGUCUUUCCCGUGCUCUCUCUCCUUCUAAGAUGCAAUCUGGUGCCUGAGGAGUGUCCUGAAUCCCAAACUCAGCCGUGAAAGAGGACCAAAAAUGUCACCCUGGCAGCUUUGAGUUGUCAUCGGCCAGCCUGGGUGUGCUGCUCUGAAGCAGUGUCACUCUGCAGCCACCGAGACCACCUCAGUUUCCCCUCCAUCCAGGCUGGCUCCAACUCCUUGUCAGCUGGGCUGAAAAGUACAGCAGUUCAUGAGCACUUGGCAUGUGCCAGCUCAGCAGAUGGAUCUAGAUGGGAAGGAGGUCCAGUGUUGGAAGUCCAGUGCUGGAAACCUGACAAGUAAUGAGAGCUGGAAGGGAGUCCAGUUUCUCCAGUGAUUCUAAACAUCGUAGCAGAGCCAAGUUUAAGUAAGUCUGAGGAGUGCCUGGAGGCCCAGGCUAUGUUGCAACACCUAUUUGCUAUGUGCAGGACAUACUUUCAGGAGACCAUUUCCAUCUGGAAUAGCUUCUUCUGCACACACUAAGUAUCAGUAAGAAGAAAGAGACUGAUCACGCUGCACUGGAACAGAGAAGAUGCAUAGUUUACCCAAGGCUGUAACUGAGAAAGUCCUCUAUAGAGCUGUAUGGACAGCCUCGCUCUCAAGCCAUGUGGAUAGACAGCAGAACUGAUCAGCUGAUGUUUUUGCAUGGAGAAAGAAAAGAGUGCAUAUGCCUGAAACAACCUGUGCUAAACAUGGUGAUACAAGUGGCAAUUCCACUUGUUCAGAAGGCAGCCUGAUCAUGGGAGACUUCAGAAUUUUUGUUCAUGUCUUUGCUAAUGAUCCCUUUAAUUACGAGCUAUAAAUCAUAUGGUAUGAAAAUAUCACCAUUCUCAUUUCAAGAAGAAAGAUUUUGUAAUGCUUUCUCACUGUGUAAUAUGUAUGGAUUUAGGGCUCUGUGGAUUAAAUUUGGCAAUUUCAGGCAUGCAAGGUUACUAAUCCGUACUUUGUCUACAAAAAAAUAGAAAGAAGAAGCAAGGCAGCCUUGUGCCCUGGGGAUGGCUGGGGAAUUCCACACAUGCCUGUCUUCUGUAACUCUUGUCAAGGGUGAAAACAUUAACAUCAGUGUUGCAAUAGUUACAGGCAGACCGAAGGGGCACACUUGAAGCAAACAUACGUGGUUUCGUUAAGUACUUCUCUGUUUUCACCUCACGGUUAUUUUUUUGACAUCUCUGUUCUUCCAGUUUCCUGAUGUUUUAAAGAAUGUAUUUGUCACAUUUAAUUCUGUUUUCCUGUAAUAACUUCAUCCACAGAGACUUCUCUUGGAGAACGGCCCAGAGAUUUUUCUGUUUCUUCUUACAUUUCUAUUUUCUCUGCAUCUGCUAUUACAUCAUUUAUAUGGGUUGCAUACACAUAAUUUUAGUUUUUAUGUCAGAGUUAUAAUGCCACAAUCAGGCUGUCGAAAUGGCUAAGUCCUGAGGAAUUUAUUUAGGCAGGAUUUGCACAGAAUUUUGUGUGAUUGCUUCAAUAAGUUGAAUGCUGCAAUAUUUCUGGUAGGUAUGCAAAAAUAAUAUAGGUAUAAGAAUAGAGCAUCAGUAAAAAUCAUUUCAGCAGUCACUAAAGUGAACCACAUUGUGCAGCUUUAACAAGGUCAGUGACGAACUAGAAGGAAGCAAGGAAUCUUGAUUUUGGCUUCAGUUUUCAACUCUUGACCACACUUCUUUGCUGUAUAAUUAUACUAUUUACUGUUAAAUUUCAUUUAAUAUUGAACUGAGUAAAUGCUAUAAUUACUGAAUUUAAUAAAUUC
ensembl:lncRNA